rnacentral:rRNA from 1 species
GAUGAACGCUGGCGGCGUGCCUAAUACAUGCAAGUCGAGCGAACAGACGAGGAGCUUGCUCCUUUGACGUUAGCGGCGGACGGGUGAGUAACACGUAGGUAACCUACCUAUAAGACUGGGAUAACUUCGGGAAACCGGAGCUAAUACCGGAUAAUAUUUCGAACCGCAUGGUUCGAUAGUGAAAGAUGGCUUUGCUAUCACUUAUAGAUGGACCUGCGCCGUAUUAGCUAGUUGGUAAGGUAACGGCUUACCAAGGCAACGAUACGUAGCCGACCUGAGAGGGUGAUCGGCCACACUGGAACUGAGACACGGUCCAGACUCCUACGGGAGGCAGCAGUAGGGAAUCUUCCGCAAUGGGCGUAAGCCUGACGGAGCAACGCCGCGUGAGUGAUGAAGGUCUUCGGAUCGUAAAACUCUGUUAUUAGGGAAGAACAAACGUGUAAGUAACUGUGCACGUCUUGACGGUACCUAAUCAGAAAGCCACGGCUAACUACGUG